rnacentral:tRNA from 1 species
AAGAAUUUAGUUUAAUUAAAACAUUAAUUUGUCAAGUUAAAAAUAUAUUUAUUAUAAUUCUUA